rnacentral:rRNA from 1 species
UACGAAGGGGGCUAGCGUUGCUCGGAAUCACUGGGCGUAAAGCGCACGUAGGCGGACUCUUAAGUCGGUGGUGAAAUCCUGGAGCUCAACUCCAGAACUGCCUUCGAUACUGGGAGUCUCGAGUUCGGGAGAGGUGAGUGGAACUGCGAGUGUAGAGGUGAAAUUCGUAGAUAUUCGGCAAAGAACACCAGUGGGCGAAGGCGGACUCACUGGCCCCGA